rnacentral:tRNA from 1 species
CGCGGGGUGGAGCAGUCUGGUAGCUCGUUGGGCUCAUAACCCAAAGGUCGUAGGUUCAAAUCCUACCCCCGCUA